rnacentral:misc_RNA from 1 species
GUAAUGCAUUCGAAUGAUAUGAUUUGACAAUCAUUUUGGUCAAUGCUUUAUCCAAUGCUACAUUCAUAAUUCUAGGAGAUUUAAAAUCCUUAUAUCAUUUCCAAGGAAGGGAAAUCAGAGAAAUUCAAUGUCCUUCCUAUGCUGCCUUUUUUAUCGUUUAAUAGCAACAAAUUUGGCUUUGUAUGCUUUCCUUUCUCAAUAAAUAUAAUGUUGGUCACAUCCUUGCUUCUUUUCUAUGUAUAUAGGUCUUUUGCAUUUUGGUGAUGAUGCCACACUUUACUGUGACAGCCUCUUUAAGAUAUAAGAGUGCUUAUUCUUCAUUACAAAACUUAUUCUUUUGCUCUUCCCGCCAUUUUUAUCUUAUAUCUACUGUUGUUGUGCUUCUUUUUCGGUUGUCUAAUGUGUUCUUAGAUAG